UUUCGGAACUGGGGCCAUGAUUAAGAGGGACGGCCGGGGGCAUUCAUAUUGUGCCGCUAGAGGUGGAAUUCUUGGACGAACCAGAGCGAAAGCAUUUGCCAAGAAUGUUUUCAUUAAUCAAGAACGAAAGUCGGAGGUUCGAAGACGAUCAGAUACCGUCGUAGUUACGACCAUAAACGAUGCCGACUAGCGAUCCGGUGGC